AGUGAACGCUGGCGGUAGGCCUAACACAUGCAAGUCGAACGGCAGCACAGUAAGAGCUUGCUCUUACGGGUGGCGAGUCGCGGACGGGUGAGGAAUACAUCGGAAUCUACUUUUUCGUGGGGGAUAACGUAGGGAAACUUACGCUAAUACCGCAUACGACCUACGGGUGAAAGCAGGGGAUCUUCGGACCUUGCGCGAUUGAAUGAGCCGAUGUCGGAUUAGCUAGUUGGCGGGGUAAAGGCCCACCAAGGCGACGAUCCGUAGCUGGUCUGAGAGGAUGAUCAGCCACACUGGAACUGAGACACGGUCCAGACUCCUACGGGAGGCAGCAGUGGGGAAUAUUGGACAAUGGGCGCAAGCAUGAUCCAGCCAUACCGCGUGGGUGAAGAAGGCCUUCGGGUUGUAAAGCCCUUUUGUUGGGAAAGAAAAGCAGCAGGUUAAUACCCCGCUGUUCUGACGGUACCCAAAGAAUAAGCACCGGCUAACUUCGUG
rnacentral:rRNA from 1 species